rnacentral:rRNA from 1 species
AUCGUUAGACAUACCAGCUGGAACAUGCCUGACUUGUCUUAUCUCAGAAACCAAACCAGAUCAGGCUAUGUUAAUACUUGGAUGGAAGACCAUCUGGGAUCAGAAGGUAUGCUU